UACGGAGGUGGCAAGCGUUGCUCGGAAUCACUGGGCGUAAAGGGCGCGUAGGCGGGGGAGGUAAGUCGGGUGUGAAAUCCCCUCGGCCCAACCGAGGAACUGCGCCCGAGACUGCUUCUCUUGAGUCCCGGAGAGGAAGGUGGAAUUCCCGGUGUAGCGGUGAAAUGUGUAGAGAUCGGGAGGAACACCGGUGGCGAAGGCGGCCUUCUGGACGGUGACUGACGCUGAGGCGCGAAAGCGUGGGGAGCAAACGGG
rnacentral:rRNA from 1 species